rnacentral:misc_RNA from 1 species
AAGAGAACCUCCACUCGAGGUAAGUGAGAAGCUUUUCAUUAUAUGGUGCUGAUUCUUCAUUGAACUGAAUAUCAAAUAUUUCACAUAGAAUAUAAUACAAUAAUCAGACGAAACAGUUAAAAUCAUAUCAAUUAAUGGCUCUGGCUGAAUUAUCAAACCUAAUAUCUUAUAAGCUGUGGACACAUUUUGCAGUUGGUAGUGGAAGAGGUAGGU